CAGAAUGAUCGCUGGCGGCAUGCUUUACACAUGCAAGUAGAACGGGGUGAGGGGGCAAUUCUUCAUUCAGAGGUGAACGUGUGAGUAAGGCAUGGGAAUUUCUCCUAAAAUGGGGGAUAACGACGUGAAAGCGGCGCUAAUCCCGCAUACGCUGUGUGUAGGAAAGUGUGGGACCCGCAAGGUCUUCGUGAUUAGGGGGCGGUUGAUGUCGGUUUAGCUCGUUGGAGGGCUAAUUGCCCACCAAGGCGGAGAUAUGUAGCUGGUGAUGAGAGGAUGAUCAGCCUCACCGGGAUUGAGUCACAGCCCA
rnacentral:rRNA from 1 species